UGCUACCUUCAGGGAGGAACUUUUUCUCUAAUGUCAUGUUAUGAUUGUGGUGGUGCAGCUGCGCAUUGAGUUGCCUUCCUUUGUAGCAUUGACCUUGUUUUCAGAAUCCACCGCCUUGCCAUGGCUAAACCUUCCUGUAAACUCUUCUUCCUCCACCUCAUCUUAUGAGAAAAUGAUGUGCGAUGAGCUGUCUUUGGUCGCUUUCAAAAACCCCCAGUUUUAGCUGGAUGAUUGGGAUUAGCCUGAGUUUACAGGAUGGGAAAGUUGGCUUGUGCCUGCAUGCUAGAGUAUUUCUUGGAUCUUUUUGGUCAUCACUAAGAAAAAUGCUUUGCUCUGCUUGCAAUCAAAGAAUUAUGUCAUCUCAAUGAAGUCAGUUAUGUGCUGUGCUGCACCCCCAAUUAUGCCAUAGCAGAACCUCCUUUGUGGCUUUUCGGCUUUUCACACUGAGCUUGUUCCUUUAAUAGCAUUGAUAUUGAUUACAGAAUCUACUGCUAAGGCUUAAGCUAAACCCUCCAAUAAACUCCACCUCUUCCACCUCAUCUUUGCCCUCCAAAAUCUUGGCUUUCCAACACUGCAGAUCAUCCCAAUGGAGUUAUUUGCAGCUGUAGAAGGUAGUGCUCGAUGAUCCAGAAGGGCGACGGCAGGCUUACAGGAUUGGGAUAUUUGGCUGGUUUCUGGUUGGCAGUUAUCUUGGUUCUGUUCUGUCAUUGCUAAGGAAGAUCAGUGAUUUUGUCUUGGCCAUGGAAUCUGCUAUGGGCAGUAUUGGCUCCCCAGUUCCAUCUUCAUGCAGCUACGCACUGAUCUUGUUACCUUUAUAGUAUUGGCAUUGAUUACAGAAUCCACCGCCAUGC